UCGACCGAAGGCUUGACAUUUCAACCGUAUGUGCAGAUUUCGUCAAGCUAGAAGUUUGGCCGACUCUCAUUAUGUUUAAGAAAGUUUAUAGUUCCUGCCCAAGAAAUUGAAUUAUAUAUUCUUCAACAUCUGAACUGCGUUGUUCGACGACAUUUGACUCACAUCGUUGGUCAUUUGAUUAAAGUACAAAUCAACGCCAUAA